rnacentral:rRNA from 1 species
UACGUAGGUGGCAAGCGUUGUCCGGAUUUACUGGGCGUAAAGAGCGUGUAGGCGGCCCGGUAAGUCCGCUGUGAAAGUCGGGGGCUCAACCCUCGAAUGCCGGUGGAUACUGUCGGGCUAGAGUGCGGAAGAGGCGAGUGGAAUUCCUGGUGUAGCGGUGAAAUGCGCAGAUAUCAGGAGGAACACCGAUUGCGAAGGCAGCUCGCUGGGACGUAACUGACGCUGAGACGCGAAAGCCAGGGGAGCAAACGGG